rnacentral:rRNA from 1 species
UCUUUUAAUUUUGUGCCAGCCGCCGCGGUAAUACGUAGGUGGCAAGCGUUGUCCGGAAUUAUUGGGCGUAAAGAGCAUGUAGGCGGGCUUUUAAGUCUGACGUGAAAAUGCGGGGCUUAACCCCGUAUGGCGUUGGAUACUGGAAGUCUUGAGUGCAGGAGAGGAAAGGGGAAUUCCCAGUGUAGCGGUGAAAUGCGUAGAUAUUGGGAGGAACACCAGUGGCGAAGGCGCCUUUCUGGACUGUGUCUGACGCUGAGAUGCGAAAGCCAGGGUAGCAAACGGG